UGGGGAAUAUUGCACAAUGGGCGCAAGCCUGAUGCAGCAACGCCGCGUGAACGAUGAAGGUCUUCGGAUCGUAAAGUUCUGUUGCAGGGGAAGAUAAUGACGGUACCCUGUGAGGAAGCCCCGGCUAACUACGUGCCAGCAGCCGCGGUAAUACGUAGGGGGCUAGCGUUAUCCGGAUUUACUGGGCGUAAAGGGUGCGUAGGUGGUCUUUCAAGUCGGUGGUUAAAGGCUACGGCUCAACCGUAGUUAGCCUCCGAAACUGGAAGACUUGAGUGCAGGAGAGGAAAGUGGAAUUCCCAGUGUAGCGGUGAAAUGCGUAGAUAUUGGGAGGAACACCAGUAGCGAAGGCGGCUUUCUGGACUGCAACUGACACUGAGGCACGAAAGCGAGGGUAGCAAACAGG
rnacentral:rRNA from 1 species